rnacentral:rRNA from 1 species
GACGAACGCUGGCGGCGUGCUUAACACAUGCAAGUCGAACGGAAAGGCCCUGCUUUUGUGGGGUGCUCGAGUGGCGAACGGGUGAGUAACACGUGAGUAACCUGCCCUUGACUUUGGGAUAACUCCAGGAAACUGGGGCUAAUACCGGAUAGGAGCUCCUGCUGCAUGGUGGGGGUUGGAAAGUUUCGGCGGUGGGGGAUGGACUCGCGGCUUAUCAGCUUGUUGGUGGGGUAGUGGCUUACCAAGGCUUUGACGGGUAGCCGGCCUGAGAGGGUGACCGGCCACAUUGGGACUGAGAUACGGCCCAGACUCCUACGGGAGGCAGCAGUGGGGAAUAUUGCACAAUGGGCGGAAGCCUGAUGCAGCAACGCCGCGUGCGGGAUGACGGCCUUCGGGUUGUAAACCGCUUUCGCCUGUGACGAAGCGUGAGUGACGGUAAUGGGUAAAGAAGCACCGGCUAACUACGUG